rnacentral:rRNA from 1 species
CACUAGGUAUGGGGAGUAUCGACCCUAUUUGUGCCGUAGCUAACGCGUUAAGUGUCCCGCCUGGGGAUUACGGCCGCAAGGCUAAAAUUCAAAGGAAUUGACGGGGGCCCGCACAAGCAGCGGAGCGUGUGGUUUAAUUCGAUGAUACACGAAGAACCUUACCUGGGCUUGACAUGUUGGAAGUAGGAACCCGAAAGGGGGACGACCUGUAAAAUCAGGAACCAUCACAGGUGCUGCAUGGCUGUCGUCAGCUCGUGUCGUGAGAUGUCGGGUUAAGUCCCGUAACGAGCGCAACCCUCGUCCUGUGUUGCACUCUCACAGGAGACUGCCUCGCAAAACGGGGAGGAAGGUGGGGAUGACGUCAAGUCAGCAUGGCUCUUACGCCCAGGGCUACACACACGCUACAAUGGGCGGUACAGAGGGAAGCGAUAGGGCGACCUGGAGCUGAUCCCUAAAAACCGUCCUCAGUUCAGAUUGCAGGCUGAAACUCGCCUGCAUGAAGGUGGAGUUGCUAGUAACCGCAGGUCAGCAUACUGUGGUGAAUACGUUCUCGGGCCUUGUACACACCGCCCGUCACGCCAUGGAAGCUGGCAAAACCUGAAGUCGAUGCGCUAACUCUUGAGGAGCAGUCGCCGAAGGUUGGGCUAGUGACUGGGGCG